rnacentral:lncRNA from 1 species
UUCUGCUUCCCUCAACAGAAGAGAAGUCAACCCUUCUUUUGAUAGGUAGUGAACAUGUACCUGUUCAGAAAAGUUUCCUCAUUGCUUCACAUCAAGAAGAGGUUCUUUAAGCAUGCAAAUAAUCCAUUAAAAAAAUGCUUCAGAGAGUAAUAUUGUCAUCGUAUAUGAAGCACUGACCAGGCAAUAAACUACACCCACUACUUCAUCUACCAAGACUGAUCAAAUGGCUUUCCUUUUACAGUGAUGUCCUCAGUGGGAAGGAAGCAAUAUCUGGAAAUUCCAGUCCCAACCUUCAUCUCCUUCCUGCAACUAGGUGCUAUCAAAACUGUUUGUAGGAAAAGUUUGCUGAUCUAAAAUAUGGAAGUAGGAUAUAGUCCAAUGAAAGACUACAUAUGAGAAGUGCUGAAUAUUGUGUAAAGUAAGUAGUAUGUACAUUCAAAACUGUAACUUUAACUGUGGACUGAAGAGGUCAGAAAAGGAAUCAUGUUAGAGAGUGAACUUGAGUAAGCUGAGGAUAGACCAAAUUACACUCUCGGGAAAAUUCCAUUUGUUGGUGAGGAAACGUAGGCUCUUUGCACUUUGGGAUAGUAAACACUGCUUCCCUUUGAAUGCACUAAUG